AUUUAAAUAGUUUAAUAAAACAUUACAUUUUCAUUGUAAAAUUGAAUUUUUUUCUUUAAAUA
rnacentral:tRNA from 1 species